GAUGAACGCUGGCGGCGUGCCUAAUACAUGCAAGUCGAGCGAACAGACGAGGAGCUUGCUCCUCUGACGUUAGCGGCGGACGGGUGAGUAACACGUGGAUAACCUACCUAUAAGACUGGGAUAACUUCGGGAAACCGGAGCUAAUACCGGAUAAUAUAUUGAACCGCAUGGUUCAAUAGUGAAAGACGGUUUUGCUGUCACUUAUAGAUGGAUCCGCGCCGCAUUAGCUAGUUGGUAAGGUAACGGCUUACCAAGGCAACGAUGCGUAGCCGAGCUGAGAGGGUGAUCGGCCACACUGGAACGGAGACACGGUCCAGACUCCUACGGGAGGCAGCAGUAGGGAAUCUUCCGCAAUGGGCGAAAGCCUGACGGAGCAACGCCGCGUGAGUGAUGAAGGUCUUCGGAUCGUAAAACUCUGUUAUUAGGGAAGAACAAAUGUGUAAGUAACUAUGCACGUCUUGACGGUACCUAAUCAGAAAGCCACGGCUAACUACGUG
rnacentral:rRNA from 1 species